rnacentral:ribozyme from 10 species
GUGAUUGGCGCCAAUCGUUCGUCUCGAAGGUCUCGCUUCGAAACGCAGGCAGAGCUGAGGACGCAGAGAUGGUGAGGGAAGGUAUGCUUUGUGGUCCACAGACGUCAGCAAACGACACUUCGGCACAAGCGAUGCGCUUAAAGUUGGGUGAACUGACUUACUGCCAGGGUACGCUGACGCAGUCUCAGUCCAAUCU